rnacentral:rRNA from 1 species
AGCGAACGCUGGCGGCAGGCCUAACACAUGCAAGUCGAACGGCUCUUCGGAGCAGUGGCGGACGGGUGAGUAACGCGUGGGAACGCGCCCUUUGGUUCGGAACAACACAGGGAAACUUGUGCUAAUACCGGAUGAGCCCCUUGGGGGAAAGAUUUAUCGCCAUUGGAGCGGCCCGCGUUGGAUUAGGUAGUUGGUGGGGUAAAGGCCCACCAAGCCGACGAUCCAUAGCUGGUCUGAGAGGAUGAUCAGCCACACUGGGACUGAGACACGGCCCAGACUCCUACGGGAGGCAGCAGUGGGGAAUCUUGCGCAAUGGGCGAAAGCUUGACGCAGCCAUGCCGCGUGAAUGAUGAAGGUCUUAGGAUUGUAAAAUUCUUUCACCGGGGAAGAUAAUGACGGUACCCGGAGAAGAAGCCCCGGCUAACUUCGUGCCAGCAGCCGCCGUAACAC